CCUACGGGAGGCAGCAGUGGGGAAUUUUGGACAAUGGGCGAAAGCCUGAUCCAGCCAUGCCGCGUUAGUGAAGAAGGCCUUCGGGUUGUAAAGCUCUUUUAGUCGGAAAGAAAGAGUUGCAAUGAAUAAUUGUGAUUUAUGACGGUACCGACAGAAGAAGCACCGGCUAACUACGUGCCAGCAGCCGCGGUAAUACGUAGGGUGCGAGCGUUAAUCGGAAUUACUGGGCGUAAAGGGUGCGCAGGCGGUCUUGCAAGUCAGAUGUGAAAGCCCCGGGCUUGACCUGGGAAUUGCGUUUGAAACUACAAGGCUAGAGUGCAGCAGAAGGGAGUGGAAUUCCAUGUGUAGCAGUGAAAUGCGUAGAGAUGUGGAAGAACACCGAUGGCGAAGGCAGCUCCCUGGGUCGACACUGACGCUCAUGCACGAAAGCGUGGGGAGCAAACAGGAUUAGAUACCCUGGUAGUCCACGCCCUAAACGAUGUCAACUAGUUGUCGGAUCUAAUUAAGGAUUUGGUAACGUAGCUAACGCGUGAAGUUGACCGCCUGGGGAGUACGGUCGCAAGAUUAAAACUCAAAGGAA
rnacentral:rRNA from 1 species